rnacentral:tRNA from 1 species
UCCUUGGUGACUUAGAUGGUAAAGGAUCUGCCUGCAAUGCAGAAGACCCGGGUUCACUCCCUGGGUCGGGAA